rnacentral:rRNA from 1 species
ACAUAUUGUGAGCUUGAUGAGUAGGGCGGGACACGUGGUAUCCUGUCUGAAUAUGGGGGGACCAUCCUCCAAGGCUAAAUACUCCUGACUGACCGAUAGUGAACCAGUACCGUGAGGGAAAGGCGAAAAGAACCCCGGCGAGGGGAGUGAAAAAGAACCUGAAACCGUGUACGUACAAGCAGUGGGAGCACGCUUAGGCGUGUGACUGCGUACCUUUUGUAUAAUGGGUCAGCGACUUAUAUUCUGUAGCAAGGUUAACCGAAUAGGGGAGCCGAAGGGAAACCGAGUCUUAACUGGGCGUUAAGUUGCAGGGUAUAGACCCGAAACCCGGUGAUCUAGCCAUGGGCAGGUUGAAGGUUGGGUAACACUAACUGGAGGACCGAACCGACUAAUGUUGAAAAAUUAGCGGAUGACUUGUGGCUGGGGGUGAAAGGCCAAUCAAACCGGGAGAUAGCUGGUUCUCCCCGAAAGCUAUUUAGGUAGCGCCUCGUGAAUUCAUCUCCGGGGGUAGAGCACUGUUUCGGCAAGGGGGUCAUCCCGACUUACCAACCCGAUGCAAACUGCGAAUACCGGAGAAUGUUAUCACGGGAGACACACGGCGGGUGCUAACGUCCGUCGUGAAGAGGGAAACAACCCAGACCGCCAGCUAAGGUCCCAAAGUCAUGGUUAAGUGGGAAACGAUGUGGGAAGGCCCAGACAGCCAGGAUGUUGGCUUAGAAGCAGCCAUCAUUUAAAGAAAGCGUAAUAGCUCACUGGUCGAGUCGGCCUGCGCGGAAGAUGUAACGGGGCUAAACCAUGCACCGAAGCUGCGGCAGCGACGC